CUAUGGAGUUUUUCUUCUGCCUGUUGUCCUAAAGAAAUGAGACUUCUCUUACUGCCUCUAUUUGCAUUUGUGCCUGUUUGCAAGGACCCUUUGAUAACUUUGGACUCACUGAGUUUAAAUCAGUUUGGAGAGAAGCAUGGAGGACACAGACAUCCUGAGCUGCCAUUCAGGGAGCCCAUGAGAAGAAGAGAUGAGGGGCAGGCAAGGAGCCUUCAGCUGCCCCUCCUUCUGCUCAGCUUUUGCAGUACCAGCACUUGGCAGCAGCUGGGCUUGGCACACCCAGAGUACUGUGCCAGCUGGAGCUACUUCCAAUUUCUUGCUCACCUGACAGGCCCAGGGAUGGGGCACAGUUGGAAGGAGAGCAACCAUUGCAUGAGGUCAGUGAAACUGGGCAUAGUGGAAGUGCAGAUCCCAAGUGGAUGAGGAUGCAAGGAGGGAAGGUGCAUGGGGAUAUGAGUACACAGCCUUAGCUCAUUAAUUUUGCUCUUCAAGAAACAAUUUGCGACUCCCUUGGUCUCUGAGGGAUUCACAAGUGAAGGGAAAAGGAAGGUGUGUGGGUUGUUAUGUUUCUUAUGGUUUUAUUCCUUUUAUUCCUGUGGUGUUAAUAUAUUAUUAAUAUCUCAUCUCAAAAAGUCUCAUUGCCGGGUAGGGCUUGUAGGUGAGCUAUGUGUGAAAAGCUCUGGGCCACCCUAACUUGUUCUGCCCGUUCCUCUUUCCACAGCAAUUCCUUUCCAGACCUGGGGAUUUGGAGCCUCCGUGAAUCUCGGCUUAGGGGCCUUUUAGAAAACAUGAGAACAAGGGCAGCACAAGUGAGCAAGUCCUCUUUUUCUGAUGUAAUGUGAAUAACCACCUUUGCCACACAGGGCCCACAGCACAGUGCUGAUGUAAGGGACUGGAGCUGGGGAGCAUUGUGUCAGUGCAGAGAACAUGCCAGCUCUCCCAAUGUAGGAUCUGGCAACUUGGGGUGGUUUGUUGUUGUUGUUUGAAAAUUUUUUUAAAUUUUUUUUAAAAUUUAUUUAUGAGAAUACUUUUUAAAAUAGUUUUCAUAAAAGCCUGUCCUGUAGUGUUACAUUUCAACAAAGUAAAUUGCUUCUGUGCUUCUUUAAAGGAAAGCUGCAGUAACAUACCAAGUGUGCAAUCUGGACCAGAAAUCUUCAGAAGUCAAGAGCAAAGGACAUUUAAUCCUGACCAAGCAGACUAAACAUUUGGUCUGAGAGCUGGAGAAAAUUCAAGAUAAUAAUAACGUUCUCUGCAUGUUGCAGUACAUCUCCUCUAGCAGUUGGAGUCCAAAAAGGUCACAUCAACUAUGAGUGAAGAAAGAAAGGGAAACACUCAGCAAGAUGAAUAUUGCUCAGAGCAUUAAUUUUCCCAUACCUUCUCCCACAGCAGGGUCACAAGCAAUUAAGGGUCCUCAUAGUGGGAACACUUCAUUGACGUACUUUACUCUCAUCCACAAUUCUUUUUUUAAUUUAUUACUUUGGAGAGGUGGUGUGUGGUGAUCCAACAAAACUAAUUUUUAUUUGCAAACUACCCUAGAAAUUAAAUUUUCUCAGACAAAAGGUUGACAUGUUUUUCCCCUCAAUGCUCUCAUUUCAUAAGGGGUGAUGUGUCCAGCCUUCUAUCUAUAACUGUCCACUUCUGUCAAGUUACAGGACAAAAUACAGUCAAUGCCUGUGUGUUAAUACUUAAUAAAGUAGGGGCUUAUGAAAAAGGGAUUGAAAAGUGAAAGUGAAAACAUGUGAGAAAUGCCUUCCUGAUCCUGAAGAAACAAAGCUGACGAGUUUCACGUCAAGAUAUUUCUUUUAAUAUUUAUGUGCUCCUAAAUGCUCCUCUGAUUUAUUUUCUCUUUGCAAUUCAAGAUAAAUAUCCAGAAUUUUGGAAAAGAAGAAGACCUGUUGUGUUAGAAGAAAUGGCAAUGAUAAUGUCAUACAUCAGUGUCGAGAUGUCUCAGCCAUAUUCACCUGGGAAUCAAAGUGUUUUCUACUUAACAUCCAGUUGGAAGAUCUCGUGCACCAUUGUACAGAGAAUCAUAGAAGAACUCAAGUUGGAAGGAACCGAUAAGGAUCACCAAGGGCAUCACCAAGGGUGAUGCUGCGCCUGAUACACCCCAGGACACACUUGGCUCUCCUGGCUGCCGGGGCACUGCUGACUUGUAUCCAACCUCUCACUGACCAGGAUCCUCAGACCUCUUUCCAUAGGGCUGUUCUCCAGGAUCUCAUCCUCUGAUUUGUACAUAUAAGGAGGAUCACCUGUCCCAGGAUGAAGCACCAGUGACCCAGCUGAAAGAGAAUGACAGGAAAUCCAGCGGCUUUAACGGUUCACAACAAUUUCUGUCUGCUUGCCAAUGAAAUAAACAUCCUUAGAUUAUUGUGGCUGUAGAAUUAAGAUGCAGAUGUGGUGCAUAACAGCUCCUGCAAAGAGAUGUAUUACACAAAUCAUUAAAAUCACUGAAAAGAUUAAACAAGGCAAAGAAAACUGGGAGUAACACUGACCUCAAACAAUUUCCCUGUCUUG